UACAGAGGGUGCUAGCGUUAAUCGGAUUUACUGGGCGUAAAGCGUGUGUAGGCGGUUUGUUAAGUCGGGUGUGAAAUCCCUGGGCUCAACCUGGGAAUUGCAUUCGAUACUGGCAAGCUAGAGUACGGUAGAGGGCGGCGGAAUUCCGGGUGUAGCGGUGAAAUGCGUAGAUAUCUGCAGGAACACCCGUGGCGAAAGCGGCGCGCUGGACCACUACUGACGCUGAGGAACGAAAGCUAGGGGAGCAAACAGG
rnacentral:rRNA from 1 species